GCAAGGAAUAUUGCACAAUGGGGGGAACCCUGAUGCAGCAACGCCGCGUGGGCGAAGAAGGCCUUCGGGUUGUAAAGCCCUUUUCUGAAGGAAGAGGAAGGACGGUACUUCAGGAAUAAGUCUCGGCUAACUACGUGCCAGCAGCCGCGGUAAAACGUAGGAGACGAGCGUUAUCCGGAUUUACUGGGCGUAAAGGGCAAGUAGGCGGUAGUCAAAGUUGGACGUGACAUCUCUCGGCCUAACUGGGAGGGGUCGUCCAAAACUAGACGACUAGAGGGCAGGAGAGGGGAGUGGAAUUCCUAGUGUAGCGGUGGAAUGCUUAGAGAUUAGGAAGAACACCAGUGGCGAAGGCGGCUCUCUGGCCUGACCCUGACGCUGAGAGGCGAAAGCUAGGGGAGCGAACGGGCUUAGAAACCCUUGUAGUCC
rnacentral:rRNA from 1 species